AUGACAAAUUUUGGUCAUCAAAAACAGAGCGUUGACAUUGUUUCACGGAAAGCUAACGGUGACAUCCAUACCAUCAAUAAAUUCCAAAACCGGACUUUCGAAAAAAUAUGACCUAAUUACGCCGCCUGACCGCAAAGGGCACCAAGCUCCAAACGUCCCAGUCGUACCCGGGUUGGUGUUGGCAUAUUAUGUACCGAGCCAAAACGCAGUCAAGAAUUUUAUGAUGAUCGAAAUAUAAGGGCCAAUUAUUAGACGGAAAAGGAUACAAUUAAUUUUUCAAGUAAACUGGGCAAACUUUUAAGUGGUAAAAUUUAACUGGAAGACCGAAGAUCCUGAUUUUGCUUGCAUUUGUUCAGCAGGUUAACUAUCCUGUGUCGCUAUUCGGCUUUGGA